GGUGCGAGUGGGCCUCCUGCGGGGCUCGCUACGGAGCGAGGGGAGAGGCGCGCUGGGAGGGGUCAGACCAAUUGAUGCGCUCCCCGGGGUACCCCCCUCUGAGCUCCCCCCCGCCAGGUGGCUGAGCCCGGGCUACCCGCCCUCUGAGCCCGCCCCCCCUCCGCGCCAGGUGGCUGAGCCCGGGCUACCCGCCCUCUGAGCCCCCUCCCCCCGGCCAGGGGGGGGCGAGCAUGUGGCCGAGCGGUGCCAGCAAACCCUGGCAGAAAUCUGUGGGGGGGGGGCACCUGACCGUAACUCGUCCCCCAUCGCCUCUGCUGGCAUCGCUCGGGGAGGUGGAUGAAGGGCAGCGGCGGGAGAGCCGCCCCUGCCGCCCCGCUGAGUGGCCAGGCUGAAGUGCUGCCGCGGGGCAGCUGCAGCGGCUCCGUGUCGAGAUCGGGGAGGCCGGACCUGACUCCGGUGUGACUUGAGGGGCUCAGAAUUCGCUCUGUUUUCCUUCCGAUGUGAAGGCGAAUAAGGAACGAAACCCUGUUACCUGAUCACAGCUCCUGGGUUGUCUGUAAUCCUGGGACUGCCAUAAGGAAUCCAGGUGGGGAACUGAGGCACAGGGAAGCUAAGCGACUUACCGAAGGUAACAAAGGGAGUCUGUGGUGGAGCAGGGAAUUGCACCCAGAUCUCCUAAAUCACAGUUUCCCGGAGGGGACGUACGCCGUUCCUGGAGGUACCGCAGUACCAGGUUGAUGUGUGGCGUGGAUGAAGCAAGCUCCUAUUCCGUCUCCCUGGCAGAGCAGAGCUCAGUACAUCCAGAAAGGUGCAUAUUUUGCACAAUGCCAUGUGUUCCAGUUGUUUGUUCCUAUCUCCUGAAUCUACCACCCUGUGACUUUCUGUGGCGCAUGCAGGAGAAGAUCCCCAUAACAGAAAAGAGAAGUCAGGUUCCGUUUCCACUGCCUUAUCGUGUGAUGUGCUGGAGAGCUGCUUAUCCCUGUUCCUGCGCGGCAUGCGCUCUGAAUAUAAAUCUGUCUCUGGGGAAAUUAGAAUCCAAAGAGCUUCUGAGGGGCAGGUCUGCUGUAGCUUUGUGAAGAAGAGACCGAGACUGUUAAGACUCUGGGGGUUCCCAGUUUGAUAUUUAAGUAUUGAAAAUGUGCCAUUUAUUGGGGAGGGGCUGUCAUCUCAAAGGUUCCUUUGCCUUUCCCUCCCUUCCUUUUGCUGCCUCUCAGACAAGGUAAAGCUGCAACAAUAGAUUCCUACAGUUUAAGGGCAGCAGGGACAAUGGGAUCAUUUGAUCUGACCGCCUGUGUAAUGCAGGCCAUAGAAUUUCAUCCAUUUUCCCCUGUACGGAGCCAAAUAACGUGUUGGACUAUGUUGGCAUGCAGGCCUGAUGGCUGGAGAGAGGGAGAAUACAACACUGCCCUCAGCAGUUUCUUCCAGUGGGGCACCAGUGAACAUGCCAAAGCUAUCAACUCCGUCACUUGGGAGCCCUGCAGCUUUAGGUGCUUGUCUGCAUGGGAAUAGUUCCUGCCAUGGCCAUAGCAGAAUAGCUUUGGAAGCGGAGUAGUCAUUUUUGGGAAUAAAGUUGUUUUUAUUUGGAA